UACGUAGGGUGCAAGCGUUGUCCGGAAUUAUUGGGCGUAAAGAGCUCGUAGGCGGUUUGUUGCGUCGGCUGUGAAAUCCCGAGGCUCAACCUCGGGUCUGCAGUCGAUACGAGCAAACUAGAGUGUUGCAGGGGAGACUGGAAUUCCUGGUGUAGCGGUGAAAUGCGCAGAUAUCAGGAGGAACACCGGUGGCGAAGGCGGGUCUCUGGGCAACAACUGACGCUGAGGAGCGAAAGUGUGGGGAGCAAACAGG
rnacentral:rRNA from 1 species